UGGGGAAUUUUGGACAAUGGGCGAAAGCCUGAUCCAGCAAUGCCGCGUGUGUGAAGAAGGCCUUCGGGUUGUAAAGCACUUUUGUCCGGAAAGAAAUCCUUGGCUCUAAUACAGUCGGGGGAUGACGGUACCGGAAGAAUAAGCACCGGCUAACUACGUGCCAGCAGCCGCGGUAAUACGUAGGGUGCAAGCGUUAAUCGGAAUUACUGGGCGUAAAGCGUGCGCAGGCGGUUUGCUAAGACCGAUGUGAAAUCCCCGGGCUCAACCUGGGAACUGCAUUGGUGACUGGCAGGCUAGAGUAUGGCAGAGGGGGGUAGAAUUCCACGUGUAGCAGUGAAAUGCGUAGAGAUGUGGAGGAAUACCGAUGGCGAAGGCAGCCCCCUGGGCCAAUACUGACGCUCAUGCACGAAAGCGUGGGGAGCAAAACAGGAUUAGAUACCCUGGUAGUCCACGCCCUAAAACGAUGUCAACUAGUUGUUGGGGAUUCAUUUCCUUAGUAACGUAGCUAACGCGUGAAGUUGACCGCCUGGGGGGUACGGUCGCAAGAUUAAAACUCAAAUGAAUUGACGGGGU
rnacentral:rRNA from 1 species